CCCAACAGUAAUUCAUUAAUCCUUGAACACCCCACGGCAGUGCUGUGGGGAGAAGAGUGAGGGUUGUGAGAAACACAUGAUGAAUGUGCUCUCCUGGGGUGGUUAAAUUUCCCAGCACUGAUUUCGCUUCUUUCCUAGACUCUUAAAAUAGUGUGUGAGUCCUACUUGAACUGAGAGUAGGAACAAGAACAGCUAGCUUGUUCCCUUAUUGCCAGCUUUGAAUAAGUCACUUUGAUUCCUAUGUCUGAGCUACAUACAUCUCUGAAAUAGAAGGGUUUUGUAAAAUAUGACCAAACUUCAUUAGCCUUUGAUGUGCUCAGAUGAACUAAAUUACUGCAAAGGCACUUGGCCCCUGGAGGUGUUCUCAAAUGACUACCAAAACUUCAUCUGAAAAUGUGUGUGGAAAUUACAUAUACCCAUUAUAACAUAAACUUAUG
rnacentral:lncRNA from 1 species